rnacentral:rRNA from 1 species
CCUACGGGAGGCAGCAGUGGGGAAUCUUGCGCAAUGGGCGAAAGCCUGACGCAGCAACGCCGCGUGCGGGAAGAAGGCUUUCGGGCUGUAAACCGCUUUCAGCAGGAACGAAAAUGACGGUACCUGCAGAAGAAGGAGCGGCCAACUAUGUGCCAGCAGCCGCGGUGAUACAUAGGCUUCAAGCGUUGUCCGGAUUUAUUGGGCGUAAAGAGUUCGUAGGCGGUCGAGUAAGUCGGGUGUGAAAAUUCUGGGCUCAACCCAGAGACGCCACCCGAUACUGCUUGACUUGAGUUCGAUAGGGGAGUGGGGAAUUCCUAGUGUAGCGGUGAAAUGCGCAGAUAUUAGGAGGAACACCGGUGGCGAAGGCGCCACUCUGGAUCGAUACUGACGCUGAGGAACGAAAGCAUGGGUAGCAAACAGGAUUAGAUACCCUGGUAGUCCAUGCCGUAAACGGUGGGCACUAGGUGUGGGUUUCUAUUAACGAAAUCCGCGCCGUCGCUAACGCAUUAAGUGCCCCGCCUGGGGAGUACGGUCGCAAGACUAAAACUUACAAGAUAUGACGNGAGAGUGCGACGAGACACAGGAGGUAGAG